rnacentral:rRNA from 1 species
GUGCCAGCCGCCGCGGUAAUACCAGCGGCCCUAGUGGUGAUCGUUAUUAUUGGGCCUAAAGCGUCCGUAGCCGGCCCGGUAAAUCUCUGGGUAAAUCGUUGGGCUUAACUCAGCGAAUUCUAGGGAGACUGCCGGGCUUGGGACCGGGAGAGGUCGGAGGUACUCCGAGGGUAGGGGUGAAAUCCUGUAAUCCUUGGGGGACCACCGGUGGCGAAGGCGUCCGACCAGAACGGGUCCGACGGUAAGGGACGAAGCCCUGGGGCGCGAACCGGAUUAGAUACCCUGGUAGUCC